rnacentral:rRNA from 1 species
AUUAACUGAAUCCAUAGGUUAAUGAGGCGAACCGGGGGAACUGAAACAUCUAAGUACCCCGAGGAAAAGAAAUCAACCGAGAUUCCCCCAGUAGCGGCGAGCGAACGGGGAGGAGCCCAGAGCCUGAAUCAGCAUGUGUGUUAGUGGAAGCGUCUGGAAAGGCGCGCGAUACAGGGUGACAGCCCCGUACACAAAAGCGCAUGUGCUGUGAGCUCGAUGAGUAGGGCGGGACACGUGGUAUCCUGUCUGAAUAUGGGGGGACCAUCCUCCAAGGCUAAAUACUCCUGACUGACCGAUAGUGAACCAGUACCGUGAGGGAAAGGCGAAAAGAACCCCGGCGAGGGGAGUGAAAAAGAACCUGAAACCGUGUACGUACAAGCAGUGGGAGCACAGGUUUACCUGUGUGACUGCGUACCUUUUGUAUAAUGGGUCAGCGACUUAUAUUCUGUAGCAAGGUUAACCGUAUAGGGGAGCCGUAGGGAAACCGAGUCUUAACCGGGCGUUAAGUUGCAGGGUAUAGACCCGAAACCCGGUGAUCUAGCCAUGGGCAGGUUGAAGGUUGGGUAACACUAACUGGAGGACCGAACCGACUAAUGUUGAAAAAUUAGCGGAUGACCUGUGGCUGGGGGUGAAAGGCCAAUCAAACCGGGAGAUAGCUGGUUCUCCCCGAAAGCUAUUUAGGUAGCGCCUCGUGAAUUCAUCUCCGGGGGUAGAGCACUGUUUCGGCUAGGGGGCCAUCCCGGCUUACCAACCCGAUGCAAACUGCGAAUACCGGAGAAUGUUAUCACGGGAGACACACGGCGGGUGCUAACGUCCGUCGUGAAGAGGGAAACAACCCAGACCGCCAGCUAAGGUCCCAAAGUCAUGGUUAAGUGGGAAACGAUGUGGGAAGGCCCAGACAGCCAGGAUGUUGGCUUAGAAGCAGCCAUCAUUUAAAGAAAGCGUAAUAGCUCACUGGUCGAGUCGGCCUGCGCGGAAGAUGUAACGGGGCUAAACCAUGCACCGAAGCUGCGGCAGCGAACGUAUCACCCAAGACAACUUUACGGAGUUGACGAUUGACGGAGCGAAGCGACGUCAAAGCGUUCAUUAAAGUCGAGUUGGCUUAGGGAUACGUUCGUUGGGUAGGGGAGCGUUCUGUAAGCCUGUGAAGGUGUGUCGUGAGGCAUGCUGGAGGUAUCAGAAGUGCGAAUGCUGACAUAAGUAACGAUAAAGCGGGUGAAAAGCCCGCUCGCCGGAAGACCAAGGGUUCCUGUCCAACGUUAAUCGGGGCAGGGUGAGUCGACCCCUAAGGCGAGGCCGAAAGGCGUAGUCGAUGGGAAACGGGUUAAUAUUCCCGUACUUGGUGUUACUGCGAAGGGGGGACGGAGAAGGCUAUGUUGGCCGGGCGACGGUUGUCCCGGUUUAAGCGUGUAGGUGUGUGUUCCAGGUAAAUCCGGUUCACUUUAACACUGAGGCGUGACGACGAGGCACUACGGUGCUGAAGCAACAAAUGCCCUGCUUCCAGGAAAAGCCUCUAAGCAUCAGGUAACAUCAAAUCGUACCCCAAACCGACACAGGUGGUCAGGUAGAGAAUACCAAGGCGCUUGAGAGAACUCGGGUGAAGGAACUAGGCAAAAUGGUGCCGUAACUUCGGGAGAAGGCACGCUGACACGUAGGUGAAGUGAUUUACUCAUGGAGCUGAAGUCAGUCGAAGAUACCAGCUGGCUGCAACUGUUUAUUAAAAACACAGCACUGUGCAAACACGAAAGUGGACGUAUACGGUGUGACGCCUGCCCGGUGCCGGAAGGUUAAUUGAUGGGGUCAGCGCAAGCGAAGCUCCUGAUCGAAGCCCCGGUAAACGGCGGCCGUAACUAUAACGGUCCUAAGGUAGCGAAAUUCCUUGUCGGGUAAGUUCCGACCUGCACGAAUGGCGUAAUGAUGGCCAGGCUGUCUCCACCCGAGACUCAGUGAAAUUGAACUCGCUGUGAAGAUGCAGUGUACCCGCGGCAAGACGGAAAGACCCCGUGAACCUUUACUAUAGCUUGACACUGAACAUUGAGCCUUGAUGUGUAGGAUAGGUGGGAGGCUUUGAAGUGUGGACGCCAGUCUGCAUGGAGCCGACCUUGAAAUACCACCCUUUAAUGUUUGAUGUUCUAACGUGGACCCGUAAUCCGGGUUGCGGACAGUGUCUGGUGGGUAGUUUGACUGGGGCGGUCUCCUCCUAAAGAGUAACGGAGGAGCACGAAGGUUGGCUAAUCCUGGUCGGACAUCAGGAGGUUAGUGCAAUGGCAUAAGCCAGCUUGACUGCGAGCGUGACGGCGCGAGCAGGUGCGAAAGCAGGUCAUAGUGAUCCGGUGGUUCUGAAUGGAAGGGCCAUCGCUCAACGGAUAAAAGGUACUCCGGGGAUAACAGGCUGAUACCGCCCAAGAGUUCAUAUCGACGGCGGUGUUUGGCACCUCGAUGUCGGCUCAUCACAUCCUGGGGCUGAAGUAGGUCCCAAGGGUAUGGCUGUUCGCCAUUUAAAGUGGUACGCGAGCUGGGUUUAGAACGUCGUGAGACAGUUCGGUCCCUAUCUGCCGUGGGCGCUGGAGAACUGAGGGGGGCUGCUCCUAGUACGAGAGGACCGGAGUGGACGCAUCACUGGUGUUCGGGUUGUCAUGCCAAUGGCACUGCCCGGUAGCUAAAUGCGGAAGAGAUAAGUGCUGAAAGCAUCUAAGCACGAAACUUGCCCCGAGAUGAGUUCUCCCUGAGACUUAGAGUCUCCUGAAGGAACGUUGAAGACGACGACGUUGAUAGGCCGGGUGUGUAAGCGCAGCGAUGCGUUGAGCUAACCGGUACUAAUGAACCGUGAGGCUUAACCUUACAACGCCGAAG